AUUGAACGCUGGCGGCAUGCUUUACACAUGCAAGUCGAACGGUAACAGGCCGCAAGGUGCUGACGAGUGGCGAACGGGUGAGUAAUGCAUCGGAACGUGCCCAGUCGUGGGGGAUAACGCAGCGAAAGCUGCGCUAAUACCGCAUACGAUCUAUGGAUGAAAGCGGGGGACCGUAAGGCCUCGCGCGACUGGAGCGGCCGAUGUCAGAUUAGGUAGUUGGUGGGGUAAAGGCUCACCAAGCCAACGAUCUGUAGCUGGUCUGAGAGGACGACCAGCCACACUGGGACUGAGACACGGCCCAGACUCCUACGGGAGGCAGCAGUGGGGAAUUUUGGACAAUGGGCGCAAGCCUGAUCCAGCAAUGCCGCGUGCAGGAAGAAGGCCUUCGGGUUGUAAACUGCUUUUGUACGGAACGAAACGGCUCUCUCUAAUACAGGGGGUUAAUGACGGUACCGUAAGAAUAAGCACCGGCUAACUACGUGCCAGCAGCCGCCGUAAUAC
rnacentral:rRNA from 1 species